rnacentral:lncRNA from 1 species
CCCUUGGUAUGCUAAGAUCAGUAUCACGCGUAGAUGAAUCAUUAAAUGAAGAAUUUGCCAAUUUUUAUUUUAGUUAUCGAGUGUAAAUCAAUGUUAUGCCUUUUUCAGUGUUAGAAAUAUGAUUGAAACCUUCACUUUCAAACCCUGUGAGGAUUCUGCUUCCAAUUGAGUCUGUGUGUUAAGUAUAUACUUUCCAAAUACUAAAAUAGGAAA